UGGGGAAUAUUGGGCAAUGGGCGAAAGCCUGACCCAGCAACGCCGCGUGAAGGAAGAAGGUUUUCGGAUUGUAAACUUCUGUCCUCAGGGAAGAAGAAAGUGACGGUACCUGAGGAGGAAGCCCCGGCUAACUACGUGCCAGCAGCCGCGGUAAUACGUAGGGGGCGAGCGUUGUCCGGAAUGACUGGGCGUAAAGGGCGCGUAGACGGUUGUCUAAGUCUGGAGUGAAAGUCCUGCUUUUAAGGUGGGAAUUGCUUUGGAGACUGGAUGACUUGAGUGCGGAAGAGGUAAGUGGAAUGCCCAGUGUAGCGGUGAAAUGCGUAGAGAUUGGGAGGAACACCAGUGGCGAAGGCGACUUACUGGGCCGUAACUGACGUUGAGGCGCGAAAGCGUGGGGAGCGAACA
rnacentral:rRNA from 1 species